GAUGAAGAACGUAGCGAAAUGCGAAAGUAAUGCGAAUUGCAGAAUUUCCGUGAGUCAUCGAAUCUUUGAUCGCACAUUGCGCCCACUGGUAUUCCGGUGGGCAUGCCUGUUCGAGCGUCAUUAUCCUCCCUCAAACCCCGGGUUUGGUGUUGGACCCAAGUUGUGUGAACAACUGGUCUCAAAGACAAUGACGGCGUCCGUGGGACCCUCGGUGCAACGAGCUUUUAGGAGCACGCAUCGAGUUGCAAGGACCUUCCGGGCCGGUCUCCUUUACCAUUUUACAAGGUUGACCUCGGAUCAGGUAGGAAUACCCGCUGAACUUAAGCAUAUCAAUAAGCGGAGGA
rnacentral:misc_RNA from 1 species